GACGAACCGUGCGACCGUUAUUCGGAAUCACUGGGCUUAAAGCGCGUGUAGGCGGGUCGGCGCGUCGGCCGCUGAAAUCCCCCGGCUCAACCGGGGAAGGGGCGCCGAGACGGCCGGCCUGGAGGGACGUAGGGGGGGCUGGAACUUCCGGUGGAGCGGUGAAAUGCGUUGAGAUCGGAAGGAACGCCCGUGGCGAAAGCGAGCCCCUGGACGUCUACUGACGCUGAGACGCGAAAGCCAGGGGAGCGAACGGG
rnacentral:rRNA from 1 species